CCAACAGGGAUUGCCUUAGUAACUGCGAGUGAAGCGGCAAGAGCUCAAAUUUGAAAUCUGGCACCUUCGGUGUCCGAGUUGUAAUUUGUAGAAGCAUCUUUUGGAUUGGUCCUUGCAUAUGUUCCUUGGAACAGGACAUCAUAGAGGGUGAGAAUCCCGUUCAUGGUGGGGAAUCCAAUUCUUUGUAAAGUGCUUUCGAAGAGUCGAGUUGUUUGGGAAUGCAGCUCUAAGUGGGUGGUAAAUUCCAUCUAAAGCUAAAUAUUGGCGAGAGACCGAUAGCGAACAAGUACAGUGAUGGAAAGAUGAAAAGAACUCCGAAAGGAGAGUGAAAAAGGACGUGAAAUUGUUGAAAGGGAAGUGCUUGAGAUCAGUCUUAAGGUUUAGUGAUCAGUCUUCCUUUUGGUUGGUGCACUCACUAUUUCUUAGGCCAACAUCAGUUUUCGCGGCAGGAUAAUGACAUUGGAAUGUGGCUCUUUCGGGAGUGUUAUAGCCUUUGUUGAUACUGCCUGCUUAGACUGAGGACCGCGCUUUUGCUAGGAUGUUGGCAUAAUGAUCUUAAGCAGC
rnacentral:rRNA from 1 species